GGAGUUUGGUCCGUGUCUCAGUACCAAUGUGGGGGACCUUCCUCUCAGAACCCCUACUGAUCGCAGGCUUGGUGGGCCGUUACCCCGCCAACAACCUAAUCAGACGCAUCCCCAUCCCUUAGCGAUAAAUCUUUGGUAUUGCUCAGAUGUCCUCAUAAUACAACAUAGGGCAUUAAUCCGACUUUCGCCG
rnacentral:rRNA from 1 species